UUUCCGUAGGUGAACCUGCGGAAGGAUCAUUACUGAGUAAGCGAGGUGCUAGGGCUGUCUCUGACCCGAUAGGUCGUGCACCCCCGAGUGCCCUCACACACCUUCACCCCACCCCUAUGUGCACGACCUCGUGGGUCCCCUUUGGCUUGUUCGGUGGGGGGCUCACGCUUUCACACGUUCUAUGAACGCAGUGCAGAAUGUAUUCAUUGUUUAAGCGAUCACCAAAUCAAAACAACCUUCAACAACGGAUCUCUUAGCUCCUGCAACGAUGAAGAACGC
rnacentral:misc_RNA from 1 species